UCGGACACAAUUUUCCUCGCUCGCCUCAGGGUCCUUGACGUGUGCAAGUCCUCGAGGGUAGGCAGAUUGCAGCCAGUCACCUUCUCCGCAUGGCGGAUGAUAUGCUGCAGUCUGCUCUUGUCCUUGGCAGUGGCAGCAGUGUACCAGAUGGUGAUGGAGGAGGUGAUGAUGGACUCAAUGAUGGCUGGUGAAGUGCACCAUCAUUGUCUUUGGCAGGUUGAAUUUCUUCAAAUUCUGUGGCCCCCGACCGGACCACUCCACAAGGUUCUUCUACUGCAGGGGGGUCGUCAAGAACCUAUGGGAGAUACUCUCUCCUUUCUGUCCCACUCACAAGAAAAACAAUUAAGAGACAACUGAGACUCAUAGGACAAUUGCUAGAUGUAAGAAUAGUUUUGUAUUUUAUAAUUUAUCGGUAGGUAUUGAGACAUGGGGUGGGUGAAUAAAAACGUUUUUAACUUAUUGAAUGUGUGGCGUUUUUGUAUUCCCUGUUUUUGGUGAAAAAAUACGGAAAAGCCACGUUGAAUUUCAAACUAUGGAAAAUAAGUUCCUAAAAUGACCUACCGGUCCUAAAAAUAAGCAGUAUUUCAGUAAUACUAACCUACGAAUGAACAUAGGUUCAACCUAGAUAUGAACCCGGAAGAGAGUGAAAACGUCCGUUAGCCGGUGCGGAAGAAUGUCUCUGCCUGGUGACAUGUUCCGAGUGAUCAGAAGUAGGCAGUGCUAAGGUCAGCACUCGUCUUGCAGAACUAUACGGCACUAAUAAUAAUCAUGCUUUAAUCAAUUACAUAUUUGACACGACUAAUCAUCAGUGCUGCAGAGACGAUCGAUGCUAUUCUAAUUGUUGUGAGUAUCGACCGAUUUUAACAUCGUGGGUAGUUUAUGCUAACGCUAACAAGUGUGGUAGACCAGCCUAUUUUUGGACACUGACAGCCAAGUAGCUAGUAGCUUUCAAUGGCUGUGUCUAAAUGCUCUCGCCUAAGCGGUCCACUGAUCAAACAACUGCUAGACGCCGUGGAUAACGUACUCUUUGACUGUGACGGUGUUAUCUGGCGAGGAAACCAGGUUGUUCCAGGUGCACCGGACGUAAUUAAUCUACUCAAGGAAAAUGGAAAAGGGGUAUACUUCGUCACCAACAACAGCACCAAAACUAGAAAGAUGUAUGCAGAUAAAUUGACACUGAUGGGAUUCAACGUGACCGAGGAUGAAGUCUUCGGGACUGCAUACUGCUCGGCAAUGUACCUAAAAACCGUCUGCAAGCUCGAAGGAAAAGUGUACCUUAUAGGUAGCAAUGCCAUGAAACACGAACUGGAGAAGGUUGGUAUCAGUCAGACCGGCGUGGGGCCCGACCCAAUAUCUGGAAACAAUCUAGACUGGGCGAACGUUCCCCUAGAUCCUGAUGUGAAAGCAGUGGUGGUGGGCUUUGACGAGCACUUCAGCUAUACGAAGCUGAACAGGGCCAUGCAGUAUCUCAGCAACCCUGCCUGUCUACUGGUAGGAACCAACAGGGAUACCAGACUACCCUUGGAGGGAGGGAAGGCUGUGCCAGGAACCGGCUGUAUCCUGAAGGCAGUAGAAACAGCUGCCCAGCGCCAGGCCCAAACCGUGGGGAAACCCAACCACUUCAUGUUUGACUGCGUGGCCCAGCAAUUUAGCCUGGAUCGGGACCGCUGUCUUAUGGUGGGGGACCGGCUGGACACGGACAUCCAGCUGGGCUCCAACUGCGGCAUGAAGACCCUGCUCACCCUGACGGGGGUCAGCACCGUGGCCGACGCCCAGGCCCAUCUGGAGAGUGGCAGCCAGGAGAGGCAGGGCAUGGUGCCUGACUACUAUGUAAACAGCAUCGCCGAGCUUCUCCCAGCUCUGCAGGGAUAGAGCGCUGCCUCACGGCAGGAAGUUAAGGACCUGAGUGUGGCACAGGAAGAACCUCCCACCUGUAUGGAGACAAGGAGAAUGAAGCUAGCCCCAUUCUCUUCCACUCUCCUUGCAUCUCCAUCCAGUGUCCUGGCGCCUGCCUUCUCCACCUCUCAACCACGCCUCAGUCUGGUCACACGGGACAACCUCUGGAUUGACCAGUGUGGACCGAGCCUCAUAUGUGGACCUUUAGCCUAAUGUGUGGCUUCACUAUAUAUCUAUGACUAUAUCUGUGAAUCAACACCCUAUUCGAGGCUUCAAAUUGUCAAACUGUUUAGGAUGGUACGCACUCAAAUGACAGUUACAUUAAUAACAUACUGCAUCAAUCAAACUAAUCACUAAUGUAAUUUAUUGUUGUUUAAAGUUAUUUUAGCUAUGGAUAGAUAACUGUGUACAAAUCAACAAUCUCCAUAUUUAGAUUUUUGAAGAAUCAUUGUUGUAAAGUGUAACCCGAGAUUAGACAGAUAAGUUGUGUAAAAGUGGAUUGUGCAGACCAUACAUCCUGUGGUGCAAUUGUCCCUCUGACGCAAUGUUGCCAUGGGGGUGGGCAGGGACAAAGCGUGCCAGUUGAGUGUUUUAGAUUUUCCAAAUGAGUGGUACUCUUACUAUAAAUUCUCAGUUUAAAGAAUGUCUAUGGAAAUUUUUGAAGAGCUCUUCAACAAUACUUCAUCAGGAAUAACUGUUUGCUAUAAUGAAGAAAAUCAAGUGAAAAUCAACCGUUUACUGUAGGCCUAUAUACAAGUGUACUCUAACAUAAUGUUAAAACAGCAGUUAAUUGCGGGUCAUAGUUAUGCACAACAAUAUUCAUGUCAGUUGCAAUGACUACUUAAUGUUGUACUGUAAUAACAGUUUAUUUAACACACAAAGUAUAAUCCAUGAUCCAUAUCUUAAUUUAUAUCCAGCAUGUAAUUGUCAACUUGCCAUCCACAGUUUCCCUUGGCGCAGACAACAGUAUUUACCUUGACUGAAGUUAACAGAAAACACUGAACAAAUUAAUUAAAAAUAUACUUUUACUAAGUCAAAGCUUGCCCUGUAGUUACUAAAUGAUCUAAUGAGCUGAUUUCUGUUUCAUGAGCGUUCUUAAGCGUACCUUGCAUCCUGUACUUCCACUUCCCGCUAGUAGCAUUAGCAUUGGAAUACCUUAUCGACUGCCUGCUAUGGUUAAUUAGCAACAUGCUAAGGAAGUAAAGCAAAUCAAUGCUUCCAGAACAGAAUGAGGAAACCGAAAAAAAAAGAAUGAGGAAACCGGAAAAGGACUGUGGAGUUGUAGGUAAUAUCACCUUGGACACCAAAAUGGCUCUGGAGUUUGUUUCAAAGGACUUUACACGGGCUGUUUCAUCAGCGGAACAACAUGUUUAUCUACCUUCACCUGUUGCUGGAAGGGGCUGCAUAUACUGAGUUCAGUUAUGAGGUGUUUGGCUACUGCAGGGACAUGGGUACCACUCUGACCAGCCUGGCUGCACACUAUGUCUUCCUGGUUGUCAAAUCCAUCAACUUCUACCUGUGUAUCCGGAGAGAUCCUGGUAGGUCAACAUAAAUGUAUGAACUCCUACAUGAAAAUUGACACUUCAACCAUCAUAUGAAUUUCAUUCAGGUUAAUCACACUGACAUUUAGCAGAUACAUUGGAUGCAAUGAAACAUCUUAUCAAACCGCACAUCUUCCUGACCCCCUGGUAGGCACGGUGACCAUAACAUUACAUUUAUAUUUAGUCAUUUAGAAGAUACUUUUAUCCAGAGCGACUUACAGUAAUUACAGGGACUUUCCUACCGAGGCAAGUAGAAUGAAGUGCCUUGCCCAAGGACACAGUCAUUUUGCACGGCCGUGAAUCGAACUGGCAACCCUUUGAUUGGUGGCUCAAUUCCCUAACCGCUCAGCCACCUGCGUCCUGACCAGGAGGAAGCAUGCCGUCCAAACACUGUCGCGGUGCUGAGGUCAGGGCUGCUAAGGGCUCACUACCUGGACCAGCACAGGCAGCAUCAGCAGGCAGGGACUGCCUUCAUCAUACAGGUGAAGAAGAAUGGGUGGAAGAGGAUUUUCUGAAAACUUUGAACGUUUCCUUGAAGUGCGAUGACAUAAGACACCAACGAGAUGGAGGACCCCAAUGUUUAAAUACAGGUUCAUUAUGCAUCUGUCCCUCCCUCUCCAGCAUCUGUUCCUGACCUUCCCAAGGAUUGUCUUUAUGCUUGGUUUCCUGGUGUUUGUCUGCUUCCCGCUGGCCAGCUACUUCCUGUUUCACUCAUAUGUGGCUCUGGUCAACCAGACCUCCAAUGAGUGGUACAAGCUCCGAGGUUCUGUCUGCCAGCACUGCCACCCCACUGUGCCCAGCCACCUCUGUGGCCCCCGACCGGAACACUCCACAAGGUUCUUCUACAGCAGGGGGGUCGUCAAGAACCUAUGGGAGAUACUCUCUCCGCUCCGUCCCACUCAAAAGAAAAACUAUUAGGAAACACCUGAGACUUUCAUAGGACAAUUGUUAGAUGUUAGUAUUGUUUUGUAAUUUAUAAGAUAUCAAUAUUGAGACAUGCGGUGGGUGAAUAAUAACUAUUUUAUUUAUUGAAUGUGUGGCGUUUUUGUGUAUUCCGUUUUUGUUGAAAUAAAACGGAAAAGCCUUUGUCGAAUUUCAAA